AGACCCGAAACCCGGUGAUCUAGCCAUGGGCAGGUUGAAGGUUGGGUAACACUAACUGGAGGACCGAACCGACUAAUGUUGAAAAAUUAGCGGAUGACCUGUGGCUGGGGGUGAAAGGCCAAUCAAACCGGGAGAUAGCUGGUUCUCCCCGAAAGCUAUUUAGGUAGCGCCUCGUGAAUUCAUCUCCGGGGGUAGAGCACUGUUUCGGCUAGGGGGCCAUCCCGGCUUACCAACCCGAUGCAAACUGCGAAUACCGGAGAAUGUUAUCACGGGAGACACACGGCGGGUGCUAACGUCCGUCGUGAAGAGGGAAACAACCCAGACCGCCAGCUAAGGUCCCAAAGUCAUGGUUAAGUGGGAAACGAUGUGGGAAGGCCCAGACAGCCAGGAUGUUGGCUUAGAAGCAGCCAUCAUUUAAAGAAAGCGUAAUAGCUCACUGGUCGAGUCGGCCUGCGCGGAAGAUGUAACGGGGCUAAACCAUGCACCGAAGCUGCGGCAGCGACACUGUGUGUUGUUGGGUAGGGGAGCGUUCUGUAAGCCUGUGAAGGUGUGUCGUGAGGCAUGCUGGAGGUAUCAGAAGUGCGAAUGCUGACAUAAGUAACGAUAAAGCGGGUGAAAAGCCCGCUCGCCGGAAGACCAAGGGUUCCUGUCCAACGUUAAUCGGGGCAGGGUGAGUCGACCCCUAAGGCGAGGCCGAAAGGCGUAGUCGAUGGGAAACGGGUUAAUAUUCCCGUACUUGGUGUUACUGCGAAGGGGGGACGGAGAAGGCUAUGUUGGCCGGGCGACGGUUGUCCCGGUUUAAGCGUGUAGGUGUGUGU
rnacentral:rRNA from 3 species